UCAGACGAUGCGUCAUGCAUAUCAAUAAGCGGAGGAAAAGAAACUAACAAGGAUUCCCCUAGUAACGGCGAGUGAAGCGGGAAGAGCUCAAAUUUGAAAUCUUAAAGGGUUUCCCUUUACGAAUUGUAGUUUAAAGAAGUGUUUUCUGUUGAGGUUUUGGUAAAAGUUCUUUGGAAUAGGACAUCAUAGAGGGUGAGAAUCCCGUAUUUGACCUUUACUUUCAACUUUGUGAUACACUUUCAAAGAGUCGGAUUGUUUGGGAAUGCAGUCCAAAAUGGGUGGUAAAUUUCAUCUAAAGCUAAAUAUUGGCGAGAGACCGAUAGCGAACAAGUACCGUGAGGGAAAGAUGAAAAGAACUUUGAAAAGAGAGUUAAACAGUACGUGAAAUUGUCAAAAGGGAAGCGUUUGACACCAGUGUUGUUUUUCUGAAAAUCAAUUAAAGAACUGUUUAUGCUAAACUGUUUAGACUUUAUCAGCUAUCUGUUUAGUUUUGAGCUUUUCUUUAAUGCACUUUUCAGUUAACAAGUCAACAUCAAUUUCUUUUGCUGUAAAAAAGCUUGAGGAAGGUGGCUUGAGAUUCGUCUUAAGUGUUUAUAGCCUCUUGCCUAUGCAGUCGGAGAGAUUGAGGUCUGCAGCGUAGAUCCUUCGGGGCUAAAUGCAUUUGUGCUAAGUUAUAGCAUUUUAUAGACAACUUGUUGACUAUGAUUUGUCUUGUAGCUUACUCGCUUAUGUUAUUUUACCUACGCUUAGGAUGUUGAGCGCAUGUCUCUCUCU
rnacentral:rRNA from 1 species